rnacentral:tRNA from 1 species
GUGAGCGUAGCUCAGUUGGUUAGAGCACUUGGUUGUGGCCCAAGAGGCCGUGGGUUCGAGUCCCAUCGCUCACCCCA